rnacentral:rRNA from 1 species
GACAGAGGAUGCAAGCGUUAUCCGGAAUGAUUGGGCGUAAAGCGUCUGUAGGUGGCUUUUUAAGUCUGCCGUCAAAUCCCAGGGCUUAACCCUGGACAGGCGGUGGAAACUACCAAGCUGGAGUACGGUAGGGGCAGGGGGAAUUUCCGGUGGAGCGGUGAAAUGCGUAGAGAUCGGAAAGAACACCAACGGCGAAAGCACUCUGCUGGGCCGACUCUGACACUGAGAGACGAAAGCUAGGGGAGCGAAUGGG